ACGUUGGAGAGUUUGAUCCUGGCUCAGGACGAACGCUGGCGGCGCGCCUAAUCCAUGCAAGUCGAGCGACGCAUUCUUUGCCCGUAAGGGCGGGUUUGACGGAGCGGCGAACGGGUGCGUAACACGUGACCAAUCUGCCCCGAAGACCGGGAUAGCCCGGGGAAACCCGGAUUAAUACCGGAUAAUCUCAUCAUCACGCAUGUGAAGGUGAGCAAAGGUUCAGGCGCUUCGGGAUGAGGUCGCGGCCCAUCAGCUAGUUGGUGAGGUAACGGCUCACUCAAGGCAAUGACGGGUAGCUGGUCUGAGAGGACGAUCAGCCACACUGGAACUGAGAUACGGUCCAGACUCCUACGGGAGGCAGCAGGAGGGAAUCUUGCGCAAUGGGCGAAAGCCUGACGCAGCGACGCCGCGUGGGGGAUGAAGGCCCUAGGGUUGUAAACCCCUUUCACGAGGGAAGAAAAUGACGGUACCUCGAGAAGAAGCCCCGGCCAACUACGUGCCAGCAGCCGCGGUAAUACGUAGGGGGCGAGCGUUGUCCGGAUUUAUUGGGCGUAAAGGGCUCGUAGGCGGCUUGGCAAGUCGGCCGUGAAAACCCAGGGCUCAACCCUGGGACGCCGGUCGAUACUGCCAUGGCUAGGGUCCGGUAGAGGGGAAUGGAAUUCCCGGUGUAGCGGUGAAAUGCGCAGAUAUCGGGAGGAACACCAGUAGCGAAGGCGGUUCCCUGGGCCGGCACCGACGCUGAGGAGCGAAAGCGUGGGGAGCAAACAGGAUUAGAUACCCUGGUAGUCCACGCCGUAAACGUUGGGCACUAGGUGUGGGGCCUCCUUAACGGGUUCCGUGCCGUAGCUAACGCAUUAAGUGCCCCGCCUGGGGAGUACGGCCGCAAGGCUAAAACUCAAAGGAAUUGACGGGGGCCCGCACAAGCGGCGGAGCAUGUUGCUUAAUUCGAGGCAACGCGAAGAACCUUACCUGGGUUUGACAUGUUGGGGACAGCCGCAGAGAUGCGGCCUCCUUAUGGUCCCAUCACAGGUGGUGCAUGGCUGUCGUCAGCUCGUGUCGUGAGAUGUUGGGUUAAGUCCCGCAACGAGCGCAACCCCUGUUCUAUGUUGCCAGCACGUAAAGGUGGGGACUCAUAGGAGACUGCCGGGGACAACUCGGAGGAAGGUGGGGACGACGUCAAAUCAUCAUGCCCCUUAUGCCCAGGGCUGCACGCAUGCUACAAUGGUCGGUACAACGGGUCGCGAUCCUGCAAAGGGGAGCCAAUCCCUCAAAGCCGGCCUCAGUUCGGAUUGGAGUCUGCAACUCGACUCCAUGAAGUCGGAGUCGCUAGUAAUCCCGGAUCAGCAACGCCGGGGUGAAUACGUUCCCGGGCCUUGUACACACCGCCCGUCACACCACGAAAGUCGGCAACACCCGAAGUCAGUGGCCUAACUCUUUUGAGAGGGAGCUGCCGAAGGUGGGGUUGGCGAUUGGGGUGAAGUCGUAACAAGGUAGCCGUACCGGAAGGUGCGGCUGGAUCACCUCCUUU
rnacentral:rRNA from 1 species